AGCAGCCGCGGUAAUUCCAGCUCCAAUAGCGUAUAUUAAAGUUGUUGCAGUUAAAAAGCUCGUAGUUGAAUUUUAGACCUGGCCAGGCGGUCCGUCUUUGGCGAGUACUGUCUUGUUGUCGGGUCUUCCUUCUGGUGAACCAGUAUGUCCUUUAUUGGGUGUGUUGGGGAGCCAGGACCAUUACCUUGAAAAAUUAGAGUGUUUAAAGCGGGCUAUUGCUUGAAUAGAUUAGCAUGGAAUAAUAGAAUAGGACGUUGUGGUUCUAUUUUGUUGGUUUCUAGGACCACCGUAAUGAUUAAUAGGGAUAGUUGGGGGCAUUAGUAUUCAAUUGUCAGAGGUGAAAUUCUUGGAUUUAUUGAAGACUAACUAUUGCGAAAGCAUUUGCCAAGGAUGUUUUCAUUAAUCAAGAACGAAAGUUAGGGGAUCGAAGACGAUCAGAUACCGUCGUAG
rnacentral:rRNA from 1 species